AUGGUCGUGGCCUUGCGGUAUGUUGAUAGUUCCGGAGAUUCUAAAGAAAGCUUUGUUGGUCUUGUUCAUGUGAAAGAAACAACUUCCUCGUACCUCAAUAGUUCAAUUGAUUCUCUUUUUGCAAAAUAUAAGCUGAGCUACAAUCAAGUUAGAGGACAAGGGUACGAUGGUGCCAGCAACAUGCGAGCUGUUGUAAGAAAGCAUAAAGGAAUUAGUAAUUUCUUCGGUAUGAUUUCUACCUUGUUAAAUGUUGUGGGUGGUUCUUCCAAGAGAAGAGACAUGAUUAGAGAUAUAAAUCUUGAAGAAGUGAGCAAGGCUUUAGGGUGUGGGCAGCUUACAACAAGAACAGGUCAGAAUCAAGAGCAGUGUCUUCAAAGACCCGGAGACACUCGUUGGGGUUCACAUGCUAAAACACUUAAGAGUUUGGUUGCCAUGUUCAGGUCAGUUAUUAAAGUUCUUGAAUUUAUUGAAGAAGAAGACACUGAUAGAACAAAUAGAGACCAAGCAAUCGGUCUUCUAGUGUACUUUCAAUCUUUUGACUUUGUCUUCUACUUGCAUCUCAUGUUGACAAUACUCAGUACUACCAACACAUUGUCAUUAGCAUUGCAGCGGAAGGAU
rnacentral:rRNA from 1 species